rnacentral:rRNA from 1 species
GAUGAACGCUGGCGGCGUGCCUAAUACAUGCAAGUAGAACGCUGAAGGAGGAGCUUGCUCUUCUGGAUGAGUUGCGAACGGGUGAGUAACGCGUAGGUAACCUGCCUGGUAGCGGGGGAUAACUAUUGGAAACGAUAGCUAAUACCGCAUGACAACAGUUAUUGCAUGAUAACUGUUUAAAAGGGGCAACUGCUCCACUACCAGAUGGACCUGCGUUGUAUUAGCUAGUUGGUGAGGUAACGGCUCACCAAGGCGACGAUACAUAGCCGACCUGCGAGGGUGAUCGGCCACACUGGGACUGAGACACGGCCCAGACUCCUACGGGAGGCAGCAGUAGGGAAUCUUCGGCAAUGGACGGAAGUCUGACCGAGCAACGCCGCGUGAGUGAAGAAGGGUUUCGGAUCGUAAAGCUCUGUUGUAAGAGAAGAACGAGUGUGAGAGUGGAAAGUUCACACUGUGACGGUAUCUUACCAGAAAGGGACGGCUAACUACGUG